GACGAACGCUGGCGGCAUGCCUAACACACGCAAGCCGAACGAGAUCUUCGGGUCUAGUGGCGCACGGGUGCGUAACGCGUGGGAAUCUGCCCUUUGGUUCGGAAUAACAGUUGGAAACGACUGCUAAUACCGGAUGAUGACGAAAGUCCAAAGAUUUAUCGCCAGAGGAUGAGCCCGCGUAGGAUUAGCUAGUUGGUGUGGUAAAGGCGCACCAAGGCGACGAUCCUUAGCUGGUCUGAGAGGAUGAUCAGCCACACUGGGACUGAGACACGGCCCAGACUCCUACGGGAGGCAGCAGUGGGGAAUAUUGGACAAUGGGCGAAAGCCUGAUCCAGCAAUGCCGCGUGAGUGAUGAAGGCCUUAGGGUUGUAAAGCUCUUUUACCCGGGAUGAUAAUGACAGUACCGGGAGAAUAAGCUCCGGCUAACUCCGUGCCAGCCGCCGCAGUAA
rnacentral:rRNA from 1 species